GAAUCCAAAAGUGAUGUUGGAUCAAGUGCAGCCGUCUUGUCACCAUGAAGUAAUAAGCUUGAUAAGGCACUCACUGAGGAUGACUAAGAAGAAAUUCAAGAGGAAAUCAUUGUCUCUUGAAGAUUCCUGGACCUGUGAAUCUUGGUUAUGGGAGGAAAAGCAUCACAUACUGGACUUUGAUGAAGAGAAUGCACAGCCUUCCAGAGAAGGCAAUACCUUGCCCCAGCCCUGCAAGGUAUUCCUACCCAUCUGGAACUGUGAUGGAGUCUUCAAAAUGCCAUUGCAUUGUUCUACCAAGCCAGUGGCUUCAGGAUGAUGGGUAAUAUAAUAAGACCAGUAAAAUCCAUGACCAAGGGCCCAUUGCUGCACUUCUUUCACUGUGAAGUGAGUUCCUUGUUCAGAAUAAAUCCUGUGCAGAAUAUCACGA